AGCCAUGCCGCGUGAGUGAUGAAGGCCCUAGGGUCGUAAAGCUCUUUCGCCAGGGAUGAUAAUGACAGUACCUGGUAAAGAAACCCCGGCUAACUCCGUGCCAGCAGCCGCGGUAAUACGGAGGGUGCGAGCGUUAAUCGGAAUUACUGGGCGUAAAGCGCACGCAGGCGGUUUGUUAAGCUAGAUGUGAAAGCCCCGGGCUCAACCUGGGAUGGUCAUUUAGAACUGGCAGACUAGAGUCUUGGAGAGGGGAGUGGAAUUCCAGGUGUAGCGGUGAAAUGCGUAGAUAUCUGGAGGAACAUCAGUGGCGAAGGCGACUCCCUGGCCAAAGACUGACGCUCAUGUGCGAAAGUGUGGGUAGCGAACAGGAUUAGAUACCCUGGUAGUCCACACCGUAAACGCUGUCUACUAGCUGUGUGUGCCUUUAAGGCGUGCGUAGCGAAGCUAACGCGCUAAGUAGACCGCCUGGGGAGUACGGCCGCAAGGUUAAAACUCAAAGAAAUUGACGGGGGCCCGCACAAGCGGCGGAGCAUGUGGAUUAAUUCGAUGCAACGCGAAGAACCUUACCUGGGCUU
rnacentral:rRNA from 11 species